rnacentral:rRNA from 1 species
CCCUUAGAUGUCCGGGGCCGCACGCGCGCUACACUGAAGGAAUCAGCGUGGCUUUCUCCCUGACCCGAAAGGGUUGGGAAACCCGUUGAAUCUCCUUCGUGAUAGGGAUUGGGGCUUGAAAUUGUUCCCCAUGAACGAGGAAUUCCCAGUAAGCGCGAGUCAUAAGCUCGCGUUGAUUACGUCCCUGCCCUUUGUACACACCGCCCGUCGCUACUACCCAUUGAACGGUUUAGUGAGGGCCUCGGAUUGGUCUCGGCCCGCUCUUUACCGGGCGGCGCCGUUGGUCGAGAAGACGCUCGAACUUGAUCGUUUAGAGGAAGUAAAAGUCGUAACA